rnacentral:rRNA from 1 species
GACGAACGCUGGCGGCGUGCCUAACACAUGCCAGUCGAACGGUGAAGCGCCUUCCUUUUUGGUGGGUGUGGAUGAGUGGCGAACGGGUGAGUAACACGUGAGUAACCUGCCCCCUCCUUCUGGAUAACCGCAUGAAAGUGUGGCUAAUACGGGAUACUCUGGGUCUGUCGCAUGAUGGGUCUGGGAAAGCUAUUGCUUCGGUGGGGGAUGGGCUCGCGGCCUAUCAGCUUGUUGGUGGGGUGAUGGCCUACCAAGGCGGUGACGAGUAGCCGGCCGGAGAGGAUGGACGAUAACGCUGGGGAGGAAAGGCGGAGCAGACUCCGGGAGGAGGCAGCAGGGGAGAAUAGUGCACAGUGGGCAGAAUGCUGAUGCAACGACGCGGCGGGGGAGAUGGAGGCCUGCGGGUUAUGAACCUCUGUCGCCAAAGAAGCAGGCCUGCCUCAUUUGUGGGUGGGUUGACGGUAGCUAAAGAAGAAGCGCCGGCUAACUACGUG